GAUCUAGGUCUGUGCAGCUGUCUGACUCUUUUCAACCAAAAAAUAAAAUAAAGCAAAAAUAAUGACCACAACAUACCCUUACAAAUGAAAUAGUCUGACUCUGUGGUCUUGAUCUAGAAAAUCUAGAUCGAGAUUUUGUAGAUCUGAUCUGAUCAAAUGUAGAUCUAGAUUUAGACGUCUAGUUCUCUGCAUCCACAUAUUUUCCAAAGACACUGCUCUUGUGGUGUCUCACAUCUUCUCUGGGAUCCCUGCACUGAGUCCAGUGUUUUUUUGUGUAAUGAAUCCCUCAGCUUCAUCUGCCUCCGUACCCAAGAGGAAUGACCGAGGUCCUCACACGAGUCCUAUCAUUUGGCCUCAACUUGUUGGCAAGAAAUUUGAAGAAGCAUCUGAAGCAAUCAAGAGCAAUAAUCCAUCAAUUUCUAUUCAAUGUGUUACCAAGGAUACCAUACUAACCAUGGACUACAGACUAGACAGAGUCAGAAUCUAUGUC
rnacentral:sRNA from 1 species